rnacentral:tRNA from 1 species
GAUAAAUGGCUGAGCGGUCAAAAGCAUCGGUUUUGAAAACCGGUAUACGUUAGUAUCGGGGGUUCAAAUCCCUCUUUAUC